rnacentral:misc_RNA from 1 species
AACUCGCGCCCGGCGCGAUGCUGCUUGCCGGGUUUGCGAGGUCGCUUGAAGUGUCUUUAUUCGACGCGGUGAAUGCGAUCAUCGCACGUGCGCCGUUCCGUCAUCUCUUCACGCCCGGCGGCCACCGGAUGUCGGUGGCCAUGACCAACUGCGGAAGGGUCGGCUGGGUCAGCGAUCGCACUGGCUAUCGCUAUGAUCCCAUCGAUCCUGUCGGCGGUCAUCCAUGG